rnacentral:lncRNA from 1 species
CUUUUUUUUUUUUGAAGAUGUGAAAUCUUGUACUGGUCGUUGGUUGUUUCUCUUUCAGUACAAUCAGAAAAUAGUGGAAUACUGAAUUAUGGGAAGCUUCCAUUAUCUCAGGUGUCAACAUUCCAUAGGUUGGUGUGGGGGCAGUUUUUAUGUUCUAUAAUACAAAGCAUACUAAAUGGAAUAAAUGGAAAUUUAGAGUCACAGUUAAACAUUCGACUUAUGUCUUCUCUUUUAAGCAUUUUAAACUACCUCUAUUAUAUUGAUUUUUAGAAGAAUUGUUUUCUAAAGAAAACUGCUUCCUGAUGUUGGCGCAGGUGCUGUGUUUAGUCAUUCCUCCCAAUGCCAGUGAUCCCUUAAAUCUGGGUGUUGUCCAUCAUCAUCCCUGCCCGUCUCCGUGCAUCCACAACUGCCACAUCCUGAGAGCUCAGUCCAUCAUGAAAUGCAAUUAUAGCCUUUUACCUCCUCCUCACCAGAUACUCUCUACAGGGCAAGUUCAUCAAACUGUGUGCUUAGAAGCUCUGGAGCAGAACUCUCACCCACCAGAAGAUUGCCUCAAGAGAUAAAAGAUGAUUUACAACCCAAAGUAUGCCCACUAGAGGUUUUGGCCAUUUUUACAAUGUAUUCCUGCCCAUGAAGAUGCCAACUUGACUGCCCAAUACAUAAAGCACCAAAGCAAGUAUGCGGACCCCCCCACACCUCCUCACUUCUGCUCCUGUGUAGACCCCCAUCUUUAAAAGCACUUACUUUCUCCUGCAAAAGCAAAUCAGACCCUUACAGCAGGAAGGCUUUUCUUCUUCUCCUAAACUAGCUUUGGAAUAAAAAGUUAUUUU